UACGUAGGGGGCGAGCGUUGUCCGGAAUUAUUGGGCGUAAAGAGCGUGUAGGCGGUUCGGUAAGUCUGCCGUGAAAACCUGGGGCUCAACCCUGGGCGUGCGGUGGAUACUGCCGGGCUAGAGGGUGGUAGAGGCGAGUGGAAUUCCCGGUGUAGCGGUGAAAUGCGUAGAGAUCGGGAGGAACAUCAGUGGCGAAGGCGGCCAUCUGGGACAACACUGACGCUGAAGCACGAAAGCGUGGGGAGCAAACAGG
rnacentral:rRNA from 1 species